rnacentral:tRNA from 1 species
GCGGGAACCGCCCAAAUCCGCGCCAGACGGGGCAUUUUCGCCUUGCCAAGGAGAAGGUCGCGAGUUCGAAUCUCGUCUUCCGCUCCA